rnacentral:rRNA from 1 species
AUGCUCGACACCUACGGGAGGCGGCAGUGGGGAAUAUUGCACAAUGGGGGAAACCCUGAUGCAGCAACGCCGCGUGAAGGAAGACGGUUUUCGGAUUGUAAACUUCUGUUCUUAGUGAAGAUAGUGACGGUAGCUAAGGAGCAAGCCACGGCUAACUACGUGCCGGCAGCCGCGGUAAUCUGAGCGGGCUGGCAAGGC